rnacentral:rRNA from 1 species
AUUGAACGCUGGCGGCAUGCCUUACACAUGCAAGUCGAACGGCAGCACGGAGCUUGCUCUGGUGGCGAGUGGCGAACGGGUGAGUAAUAUAUCGGAACGUACCCUAGAGUGGGGGAUAACGUAGCGAAAGUUACGCUAAUACCGCAUACGAUCUAAGGAUGAAAGUGGGGGAUCGCAAGACCUCAUGCUCGUGGAGCGGCCGAUAUCUGAUUAGCUAGUUGGUAGGGUAAAAGCCUACCAAGGCAUCGAUCAGUAGCUGGUCUGAGAGGACGACCAGCCACACUGGAACUGAGACACGGUCCAGACUCCUACGGGAGGCAGCAGUGGGGAAUUUUGGACAAUGGGCGAAAGCCUGAUCCAGCAAUGCCGCGUGAGUGAAGAAGGCCUUCGGGUUGUAAAGCUCUUUUGUCAGGGAAGAAACGGUGGGAGCUAAUAUCUCUUGCUAAUGACGGUACCUGAAGAAUAAGCACCGGCUAACUACGUGCCAGCAGCCGCGGUAAUACGUAGGGUGCAAGCGUUAAUCGGAAUUACUGGGCGUAAAGCGUGCGCAGGCGGUUUUGUAAGUCUGAUGUGAAAUCCCCGGGCUCAACCUGGGAAUUGCAUUGGAGACUGCAAGGCUAGAAUCUGGCAGAGGGGGGUAGAAUUCCACGUGUAGCAGUGAAAUGCGUAGAUAUGUGGAGGAACACCGAUGGCGAAGGCAGCCCCCUGGGUCAAGAUUGACGCUCAUGCACGAAAGCGUGGGGAGCAAACAGGAUUAGAUACCCUGGUAGUCCACGCCCUAAACGAUGUCUACUAGUUGUCGGGUCUUAAUUGACUUGGUAACGCAGCUAACGCGUGAAGUAGACCGCCUGGGGAGUACGGUCGCAAGAUUAAAACUCAAAGGAAUUGACGGGGACCCGCACAAGCGGUGGAUGAUGUGGAUUAAUUCGAUGCAACGCGAAAAACCUUACCUACCCUUGACAUGGCUGGAAUCCUUGAGAGAUCAGGGAGUGCUCGAAAGAGAACCAGCACACAGGUGCUGCAUGGCUGUCGUCAGCUCGUGUCGUGAGAUGUUGGGUUAAGUCCCGCAACGAGCGCAACCCUUGUCAUUAGUUGCUACGAAAGGGCACUCUAAUGAGACUGCCGGUGACAAACCGGAGGAAGGUGGGGAUGACGUCAAGUCCUCAUGGCCCUUAUGGGUAGGGCUUCACACGUCAUACAAUGGUACAUACAGAGCGCCGCCAACCCGCGAGGGGGAGCUAAUCGCAGAAAGUGUAUCGUAGUCCGGAUUGUAGUCUGCAACUCGACUGCAUGAAGUUGGAAUCGCUAGUAAUCGCGGAUCAGCAUGUCGCGGUGAAUACGUUCCCGGGUUU